GACGCGCGGCUCCCCUCCUUUGUUGAGGGGGUCUGUCCACGGCGGCGGGGUCAGGAGCGUGCGGAGGUCGGGGCGGCCCCGGGGAGAGGAGCCGGCGGCGGCAGCAGCAGCAGCAGCAGCAGCGGGGGGCUCUGCCCGGCGCCGGUGAAUGGACUCCGAGAGUUGCGAAUAAUUGCUGCUUACCAGGAGACGGAUAACCACUGUUCUCUAGGAGCCUCUCUGUGGACAGGUGGGAGAAGUAGGAUCAGUGGAGCUCUACUGUGGUCCCUACAUCUAUAUAUGCACUUUGGUCGUAGACAGCAAAGUAUGGAUAAAUCAGAUUAAUUUUUUGCAGGCAUUAAGGCAUGUUCCACUCACCAAACAGUGCUUCUGUACAGCCUGUUACCAGCUGCUCUUCCAUGAUACACAGACUUCUGCCAAAGAACACUGAAGCUUGCCCUCACCAAAAAAAAAACACCAUCUUCAAGGCAUUUUAGUAAGACACCCUAUUAAUAUAUCUAUGAAAUACACAGUAUUGUACCCCUAGACUAUAUCCAGCUUUUAAUUUAUUCAUCUUUAAGGUCUCUUCAAACCCUAACCAUUCUAUGAUUCUAUGGCAGUAGUCAGAUAAUUACAAAACUACUGUGAAAUAGUGUCGUGUGAGAUUAGAUUUGGAAAGCUGCUUUUUAUUCUACCACUUCCUUUUUAAGUAGGAAAGCAUUAAGGCAGUUUUCUACACCAAAGUGAGGGAACAAAAGAGAGGCAAGUAAGAACCAGAUUCUGCUCAUCCAGGAUAUGUAUUUGAGUAAGUAUGUAUGUGAGGAGUGCAAAAUAUUACCCACAUUGCACAGUAUACAAAACUUCAGUAAAACAGCCUGAGAUUUAUAUUUCUAUGUAUGGCUUUUAAGAUCAAAUUCUACCUGGGGCUAAACUUUAUUAAAGUUGCAUGCUCUGAGAGCAUAUAUAUUUUGAAGGAUGAAUACCUGAAGAUAUGGAAGUAAAUUAAAAAGGUGAUAGCUGCCAAAAAUACAUUGUGACAGGCUGAACUGGUAAAUUUUAUGGAUAAUUAGUUUUAUAUUCAGAGGGCUUACAGCAGGUAUCAUCUCUUUGGACUCCACUGAAGUAUUUAAUAUACUACAAGAUCUUUUUAGUUAAACCCAAUAAUACAGAGAUUAAUAGUAAUAACUGCAGGAUGGAUAAGGAACCAGAUGAAUUAAAUGACAAGACCUAGCACUGAAGAGAUUUUACUUGUACUCAACAUAUUCGACCCCUGCUUGUACAUGGGUGGGACGAGGUCCAUAACUCUUCCCUUUCUACUUCUCCCCAGGAGUACUGCUCUUCUUAGAAGUAGCUAAAUCCUUACUUUUUCUUCUCGCAAGAAAGGGGAUACCUUCUAGUACUAGGAUAGCAGCUGACAUUAACCCCUUUGUUGAGGGAGAACUGUCUCGAGAAGUGGGUAAGAUAAACAAAGCACUUUUCGCCUGCCCUAGCUAUUGUUUCAGCAACCUGCAGAAAAAAGUGGGUAUUGCUGUUUCAGAGACAACCAGUGUUCAAGGUGUCUUCCAGGCUAUAAAAGACGUAAAAUUCCUUUAAAAAACACAAAACAACAACAAAACAAAUCAAACAAAGAG